UCGAGUCUUUGAAAGGGGUUGUAGCUGGCCUCACGAGGCAUGUGCACGCCCUGCUCAAUCCACUCUACACCUGUGCACUUACUGUGGGUCUUCUGAAGGGGUUUGCAAUCCGUUUGUAAACCUUUCCCGGGGCCUACGUUAAUUUACAAACACUUAUAAAAGUAACGGAAUGUGUAUUGCGAUGUAACGCAUCCAUAAUA
rnacentral:misc_RNA from 1 species